UUUAAUAUUUUUCGUCAUUAUUCAGAUACGAUAUUCGAGCGAAGUCGCAAACUAUUUAGAAUUUACCCAUUUCCCCAUAAACAAUAAGAAGCGUGCAAUCAAGAUUUGAACGAAUUCACACACCCCUGGCCAAAGAUAAACAAACAAAUCAGAAAAGGAUUCGGAACGUGAAAAAUUGGCAUCCGUGGACAGAAAAAUAGACGCUUGAAAGUUGGCAACAUUUGUGCUGUCAAGUUCUUGCUUCCGUGAGAAGAAGAGUAAAAAAAAAAAGUGGUGGUGGAAAAAACGGCUGCAACUUCCGCGCUGAUCGGCUACGCCGAAGAUUUUGCUCCAUCAGCAAGCGGCACGAUCCCGGCAAUACUGGCACUCGAAAGUGCUCAAUUCGGCCGCCGAAAAGGAACAAAGCUGCUAGGAGGCAACUCGUGGGCAGGCGAUCUCUUCGAGCGUGAGAAGAAGCCGGAAGCAAGAUAACGCUCACCGGAACACCGAGCCAGCACCCGGUUACGGUGUGACCUGUUUGCCAAGCCAUUAGCAAACACGAAGAAAAGGGGUCAAAGCGACCUUUUUUUUGUUACGGAAGAUAUUGUUCCGGGCUUACGUUUAUCGGCCAAUAGUUUACCGCCAUUUGAGGCAGGUUUGAAGCCCGUUCCGGAAAGUCCGGUUUGAGCCUCUUGUUACGGCUUUGAGUGCUAAAGGCCACGUUUUGUGGAAGUUUGUCAUUUCUUCGGAACGUUUUCGCAGCGACACACUGGCCAGCUCCUGAAUAUUAUUUGGACCUUGCCACAUCAGAGCUUGGUUCGGAAAGUACCGAUUUCACCGCAUCCUCGGCGGUCAGCGGAAAAGGAAAGUGCACUGUUGGUUUCCCGGAAGGUUUCCCGGAAGUGCGCCUGUGUGGCCCCAUCGGCUCGGCGUUCCUUUGGCCUUGAUGACCAUUAGUGCACGAGGAACAAACGUGGUUCUGCUACGGAAAUCGAAGCUCGGCAUUGAUUGCUGGGUUAUUUGUCGUGUGUCGGAGUUGUGCGAGGAUCCUGCGAGAAGAAGGAACAGGAAAGGAAGGCAAAGAGUGCUCUGUCCUCAUCGACAGCCGAAAGUGCACCCACAGGGCGACCUGCUCUGUCCUCAUCGACUGCCGGAAGUGCACUUACAGAGCGUUUCGCGCUGUUCUCAUCGCCAGCAGAAAAUUGGAACGAUUUCAACAACAGUUCAACGGAAGCACGCAGAAAAGUGCAACACAUUGGUCGACCGAUUGCAGCAAGUGAAUAGCGGGUGGUGCGGAUCCUGCUGUGCGCCUCAAGCGUGCACCGGGGCAAGGUGCAUUCAUGCAUCUUCCAAGCAUCCGUUCCAAGAGAAUUUCCGAUCAGGUCGGAGUGGAACACACGGGAAUCAGUUCGACGGUUCGAGGCGGAGAAAACAGGGACAUGAAAUUCAACUCGCCACUGCCAACCUGCAUGCAUCGAAGCCAACGAGAUCAACGAAGCAACACAGCACGUAAGUCGCUUUAAAUUAUUGUUUUUAUGGGGGGAAAAUAACAAAAUGGGUCAUCCAAAAUUAUGCAACCACUAUUGAUGUUGCUUUGUUUAUGUUUGCGAAUUUUUAUCAGCUUUAUCUGGUGGCAUCGUCCCCAGUAGUAAAGCCUCCAUAAUAA